UCGAGUGGCGAGAACCUGAGAUCGAGUGGAGAGAACCUGAGAUCGAGUGGAGAGAAGCUGAGAUCGAGUGGAGAGAAGCUGAGAUCGAGUGGAGAGAACCUGAGAUCGAGUGGAGAGAAGCUGAGAUCGAGUGGUGAGAACCUGAGAUCGAGUGGAGAGAAGCUGGGAACCAGUGGAGAGAAGCUGGGAUCGAGCAGAGAGAAGCUGAGGUUGAGUGGAGAAAAGCUGGGGUCAAGUGCGGAGAACCUGAGAUCUAGUGAGAAGUUGGGGACCAGUGGGGAGAAGCUGAAGGGUUCAAGAAUGGGGAGCAUAAAUGAGAACAUUGAAAAAGUGACAGAAGUUACUGGUGAUGAAAGAGUGAUGGCAUUUACUGAUGAUGAGAUGGAAAUUCCUUUUGAAAGUGUCAAAGGGAGUGAUGAACUGCAAGGGACUGAGGAAGGAGUGGGAGUUGAGAGGGGCAUCUUGCAUGAAGUGAGAGACAUUACUGACGAAUCUGUUUCUAUGGAAAAGAAAGAUGUUAUAGGUGAAGGUACCAGUGAAUGAAGCAGAUGAAGGGUUGACACCAAAGAAGGAAAUAGAGGCAGACAGGGGAAGUCAGAGGAGAAAUUAGAGCCAGACAGAACAUUAUUGACACCGAAGGGGUAAAGUUGAGAGAGGAAACGAGAGAGUCUGAGCCUAAAAUAAAAGUGAGUGGAAGUGAGUUAGAAGAGCUGCUGGGGCUGAAGGCAGAGGCCAGAAUCAAAGGAAACAGAGGAGUAUGUGGUUCAGAGAGAAGUGGGAACAUAUGGAGGAGAAAGAGAGGACGUGGUAACAUGUUGACAGAGGAAACUUGGAUAUUGAGAGAAAAGCUGUGACCGGGGAGCUCAUAGGGAAAUGUUUGAGAAAAGGAUGGAGGAUGGACUAGAAGGAUUUAGUCUGACACAUGAUGGGGUGUAUGAGAUGGAGGAGAAUUGCACCAGAAUAAAGGGUAGAUUUUGAGGGUUGUGGAAGAAGGUGCAGGCUGAAGUAGACAAAAUUUCUGAAAGAAUGAAGGGCUCCCAAGUGACAAAAGCAGGAGGAGAGGAGAUAAGAAAGAAGUGAGGAAAAAACAUAAGAAGCCACAUGCUGUAAUGGUGAUUGUGUUUAUUGAUCUCUGCCAUCCCGAGAUUGUCACUCCUAGCCUCCUCUGGAAACUCUCUGAGUGCUGGGGAAUCGCUUCUCUUAAAAGAGGCCCAUACAGGCAUGAGGUCAUACUUGGGCAGUUUUUGGCUGUGUGAAAAUUGCACCACACAGUAUACAAAUGAUGAACCAAACAAUUACAUUCGUUCUUUGGCUGGAUUGCAUUUUCUCCUGGGAUCUAGAUGCAUUUCACCAGGGCCACAGAAAGAAAAAUGAAGACCAUGAUACCGUGACAAAUGCCAACUGCCUCGUGACAGGGAAGAUGAUGCCAUCAGAUCCGUGCUUCACAUAGAGAAGUCCAAAGCAUAGAUGGAGUCACCCAGGCAUGG